CCUACGGGAGGCUGCAGUAGGGAAUAUUGCUCAAUGGGGGAAACCCUGAAGCAGCAACGCCGCGUGGAGGAUGAAGGUUUUCGGAUUGUAAACUCCUUUUGUUAGAGAAGAUAAUGACGGUAUCUAACGAAUAAGCACCGGGUAACUCGGGGCCAGCAGCCGCGGGAAUCCGGAGGGUGCAAGCGGUACUCGGAAUCACGGGGCGUAAAGAGCGGGUAGGGGGGAUAGGAAGUCAGAUGUGAAAUCCUAGGGCUUAACGAUAGAACUGCAGUGGAAACUGUUGUUCGUGAGUGGGGGAGAGGUAGGUGGAAGUCGUGGUGUAGGGGGGAAAUGCGUAGAGAGCAAGAGGAA
rnacentral:rRNA from 1 species